UACGUAGGUGGCAAGCGUUGUCCGGAUUUACUGGGCGUAAAGCGCGUUCAGGCGGUUUGGCAAGUCGGGCAUGAAAUCUCUCGGCUCAACCGGGAGAGGUUGUCCGAUACUGCUGGACUUGAGGGCAGUAGAGGGUGGUGGAAUUCCGGGUGUAGUGGUGAAAUGCGUAGAUAUCCGGAGGAACACCAGUGGCGAAAGCGGCCACCUGGACUGCACCUGACGCUGAAACGCGAAAGCUAGGGGAGCGAACGGG
rnacentral:rRNA from 1 species